rnacentral:rRNA from 1 species
GAUGAACGCUGGCGGCGUGCCUAAUACAUGCAAGUCGAGCGAACGGACGAGAAGCUUGCUUCUCUGAUGUUAGCGGCGGACGGGUGAGUAACACGUGGAUAACCUACCUAUAAGACUGGGAUAACUUCGGGAAACCGGAGCUAAUACCGGAUAAUAUUUUGAACCGCAUGGUUCAAAAGUGAAAGACGGUCUUGCUGUCACUUAUAGAUGGAUCCGCGCUGCAUUAGCUAGUUGGUAAGGUAACGGCUUACCAAGGCAACGAUGCAUAGCCGACCUGAGAGGGUGUUCGGCCACACUGGACCUGAGCCACGGUCCAGCCCCCUACGGGAGGCAGCAGUGGGAAUCUUCCGCAAUGGGCGGAAGCCUGGCGGAGCAACGCCGCGUGAGUUAUGAAGGUCUUCCGAUCGUAAAACUCUGUUAUUAGGGAAGAACAUAUUUGUAAGUAACUGUUCACAUCUUGACGGUACCUAAUCAGAAAGGCACGGCUAACUUCGUG